GUCGUUGAUAUAAUAAUUAAAGGUCGACUGAACAUGAAUUAUAUUAUACAAUUUAAAGCGCAUUUCUGUUUAUGCACGUGAACCUGUCUAACGUUAUUUUUGCAGUUAUAUAAAGUAGCAAAUUAUCGUUCCUGAAUAGGUGGCGCCGUGGUAGCGGAUCCUGUUCCUCUUCUUCCGGUUUCUGCACUGUGCAACUAUUUCAGUUAUAUUUUUAAUUAACGAUGCCAAGUACUUGUUGUUGUGUACCUGGAUGUCAUUUAAGAGGAGGACAUGCAUUUCCAAAUGACUUAAAAAGAAGGAAAAGUUGGAUCAACGCCAUGGCCCAUACGCAGAUUGGACGAGAACACGAUGAUAUCGUGGAGUCCAUCUCAAUCAGCUGUUGUUUGCAAGGCACGUUUUACUGAAAAAGACUACGUGCAGGAAACUAUUCGUAGGCGCAAACCCACCAUACAGAGACUUAAGUCUACUGCAAUUCCCAGCCUAUUUUCCUGGACCAAGCAAGAGACUGAAUCGUCCGGUAUUUUUCACCAUCCAACUUCAAAUUAAAGUUUCCUACGACUUGGAUUAUUAUUGACAGCACAGAAUAUCCUGUGAUAAAACCUAAAGCUCCUAGAGCUCAGGCAACCUUUUCAUCAAAUAAAAACAGAAACACUGAAAAUUCUUGAAUGUUCAACACCUGGUGGUUUAGUCAACUAUGUCUCUAUGUCACAUAGAGCGAAUAAUUGGACUUGGCAAAACAUACAAAAUUCUAAUAAAUCCUAUGAAUGGAACUGAAACAAAACUUUCAUCUGAAAUAACAUUUAAUUGUUUUAUGUUGUGUAAUUUUAGAACUUGUAUUGUGCCAAAGGAUGCAUAAAUAAAAGUGACGCAAUGAA